UACGAAGGGGGCUAGCGUUGUUCGGAAUUACUGGGCGUAAAGCGCGCGCAGGCGGGUCAUCAAGUCAGGGGUGAAAGCCCAGAGCUCAACUCUGGAACUGCCCUUGAAACUGGUGACCUUGAGUACGGGAGAGGUGAGUGGAAUUCCCAGUGUAGAGGUGAAAUUCGUAGAUAUUCGGAAGAACACCAGUGGCGAAGGCGACACACUGGCCCGUUACUGACGCUGAGGCUCGAAAGCGUGGGGAGCAAACAGG
rnacentral:rRNA from 1 species